rnacentral:rRNA from 1 species
UACAGAGGGGCGGAGCGUUGUUCGGAAUUACUGGGCGUAAAGGGCGCGUAGGCGGCCCGCUAAGUCGAACGUGAAAUCCCCAGGCUCAACCUGGGAACUGCGUCCGAUACUGGCAGGCUUGAAUCCGGGAGAGGGAUGUGGAAUUCCAGGUGUAGCGGUGAAAUGACGGUAGAUAUCUGGAGGAACACCGGUGGCGAAGGCGGCAUCCUGGACCGGUAUUGACGCUGAGGCG